UGUGUAUAUAUAUGUGUAUAUAGAUAUAUUUGUGUGUAUAUAUAUGUGUAUAUAUGAUUUCCCCUCAUAUAUAUAUAUAUAUGAAGGGAAGUCAAAACUUAUCUGCACUCCCACCAUAACACUAUUGUCACACUGCCUUCUGCGCAUGCGUGCUAAUAGUUGGUACCGUUGUGGUCACAUGAUCAAAGUUUGAGCCUGAUUGUGCCAUUUUUCUUAGUCUUUACAGUGUGAAGCGUGACCGCUCCACUAGCAAAAUACAUCAAAGAAGAGCAAAGAGCAGUGAUCCGAGAGAUGGUAGUGGUGAACUGUUUCGUCGUUACCAUCUCUGGAGUUUGCUGAAUCUUUUCAUCAGUAGUGGAGGUUAGCAGGUGUCCUGCUCCAUCUUCGUGCAUCAUAUAUAUAUAUAUAUAUGUGUGUGUGUGUGUUGUGUGUGUGUGUAGUGGACUCUUCUGUUGUAGACAAUAGAUGAGGGUUCCACCAUUUCUAGAUGAACAAUCUGCACAAAAGAUUUGUUUACAGUAAGCAAAUGAUUGUGCUGUACAUUAGUUCAUGCCAUCAAAUUGAUGUUACCUUUACGGGUGCACAAUGCACUACACAUCAGAUGUUGAUAUGAUUGCAGAAGAACAUGAGAUGAAGUAUUUAGCCCAUGAACACAACACACCAGCCAGUCAGGAUAUUGAAACCACAGUCUUGUGAUUGUGGGUGCUGUACCUUCAUUACUAGGCCACGUCAUCUCACUAUAUAUAUAUAUAUAUAUAAAUGGCGAGAGAGAGAGAGAGAGCAAAAUACAGAAUGAUCAUGGCUAGAAUGUCUUAGAUCAUAGGUAAAGCUCAAUCAGAGAUGGGCCCCAAGACUAAACUAUAUCAACAACAACAUAAUAAUAAUAAUUAAUUAAUAGCAACAAGAUCACUCUUAGUUCAACUGUGAUCAUCAUUUUCUGUUUCUGGUUGUGAAAAAAAAAAAAAAUUGUAAUUAUUCACGCCAUCUUCCCUGAUGCCCACCAUCACCACCACCACCACAACCAUCCAACACCAUUAUAAAAACAAAUAAAAAAAGGAAAUCAAAAAAGAAAAUAA